rnacentral:lncRNA from 1 species
AUGCUUCAUUAUUCAUUGAACACAAUCUUUUACAACGCUCCGUUUACGUGCUGGAGUUUCUCCCUACGCUUUGCUCUAAAUGUUGAAGGUCUCAUUUUUGCAGUUCCUGAUCGUCACUAUCUACCCCACGUCUUUAAGAAUUUCCCUCACCCAGGAGGCAGAUCUGUUGAUUUAAGAAUACCCUGGGUCUUCCUGAACUUCCUCUUCAGAUCUGGCUCAUUUCCAAGUGGCUUCGUCUUCUAUCCCUGACUGCCAGAAGUCACCAGAAGAGCUACUGUCCAGCUCAGGGAAGUGGGACGCCCAUCUGGCAAUCUGUCAGUGCCAGGCUCCGCUGCGUUGGCGAGGGUAUUUUCUAACCGGACUGACAAACCUUAAAACCAGUAUGCCGUUAAGUUGCUAAGGUAAGUUGGAUUCUCUUCACACCCUUUGCAUCGGACCCGAGUCCUUACGUUCUUUUUUGACAUGCGGGCUCAUACAGAACUAAACCCUAACCCCCCCACAGAAGGCCUAACCCAAACCCAAGCCCGGGACAUUAACCUCCAUCGCAACAACUGGACCCCCACUAAAUGACACCUCCAUCUCCGUCUUCCGACUCAUCGGCUGGGGGAGCAGAUAACAGUCGCGCUGGACGAUGCAAAAUUUACUUCCUGUUGCCUCGGUUAGGACCUCAGUGUCUCUCCGAAAUUUUCUCCCAGGUAAAUAUGAGCCCUUCGUUCUCCACUCCCAAGGUGCCGCGAACAGAGUCAGGUUCCAAGAAAGUGAUGCUGUUAUUUGGAGUAGUUGUGAUACAACCAAAUGAAAGGGAAG